rnacentral:rRNA from 1 species
AACGAACGCUGGCGGAAUGCUUUACACAUGCAAGUCGAACGGCAGCACGGACUUCGGUCUGGUGGCGAGUGGCGAACGGGUGAGUAAUGUAUCGGAACGUGCCCAGUCGUGGGGGAUAACGUAGUGAAAAUUACGCUAAUACCGCAUACGAUCUAUGGAUGAAAGCGGGGGAUCGCAAGACCUCGCGCGAUUGGAGCGGCCGAUAUCAGAUUAGGUAGUUGGUGGGGUAAAGGCCCACCAAGCCAACGAUCUGUAGCUGGUCUGAGAGGACGACCAGCCACACUGGAACGUAGACACGGUCCAGACUCCUACGGGAGGCAGCAGUGGGGAAUUUUGUACAAUGGGCGAAAGGCUGAUCCAGCCAUUCCGCGUGCAGGAUGAAUGCCCUCGGGUUGUAAACUGCUUUUGUACAGAACAAAAAGGUUUCUACUAAUACUAGGAGCUCAUGACGGUACUGUAAGAAUAAGCACCGGCUAACUACGUGCCAGCAGCCGCAGUAA